ensembl:lncRNA
CUUUAAACAUCAGCUAUCUGAGCAGCUAACCGAUCGCUGCAGCUGUACAUAGUCCGUCUGUAAAUAGCUCACCCAAUCUACCUACCUCAUCCCCAUAUUGUUUUUAUUUACUUUGCUGCUCUUUUGGACACCAGUAUCACUACUUACACAUCAUCAUCUGCUCAUCUAUCACUCCAGUGUUAAUCUGCUAAAUUGUAAUUACUUCUCUACUAUGGCCUAUUUAUUGCCUUACCUCCUCACGCCGUUUGCCCACACUGUAUAUAGACUUUUUUUUCUUUCUAUUGUGUUAUUGACUGUAUGUUUGUUUUAUUCCAUGUGUAACUCUGUUGUUGUAUGUGUCAAACUGCUUUGCUUUAUCUUGGCCAGGUCGCAGUUGUAAAUGAGAACUUGUUCUCAACUAGCCUACCUGGUUAAAUAAAGGACUUGUUCUCUACUAGCCUACCUGGUUAAAUAAAGGACUUGUUCUCAACUAGCCUACCUGGUUAAAUAAAGGUGAAAUAGAUAUCUGAUCCACUAGGUGGAUUUUCAGAGAAUGGGCUUUCCUGAAUGAGAGGAUGGGGGGCGGAGUUGAUCAACACGCUCUUUGUCUAAACUACUUCCCUAAUGUAAAGAGAGAGAGAGAAGAGAGCAGAGAGAGCAGAGAGAGAGAGAGAGACACAGAGAGAGCAGAGUUGAGGGUCUUCAGUUUAUCCAGACAGUGCCUUACGUGUGGUUGGUGUGCAGAACACAACAGUCCGUUGUCUUGGGCGUGAAGGCGACUAGCCAUGCAUAAACAGACAGGGCAGACGGACAACAGGAAAUAAUGCGCUCCGGCUAUACCUCGUAAACAACCACCUUGUUGUUCUGUUCAUGUUUUAUCCAGACAGUCGCUGUCUGAGUUUGACAGAGUAUCGACCCGUUCGCUUCUAGUCUCAGUCUUCUUUCCAUAUUUUCCUCUUCAUCUCUCCUCUCUUCUUCUUCACCAUGGGGUGUUCUUCGUCCAGCACACAGACUAUCGAUGAGGAGAAGAGACCGGGUACAAAACCCGAGGAGUCCAAUGGAGACACAUUUGUUGUCAGGAAUGGACACAUCUCGGAGGAAACAGAGACCAUCGCUGACCAGAUGCAACUUCCUGUCCAGAGUGCCCUGACUGAUGACUCUGAGGAACCUGUCCUCAUGGCCUCCGAGGCCCUGGAGACCAUGGGGUCUGGAUGGGAGGAGGACCAGGUCCUGGUGAUGUUGGCUGCAGCUGAGCCAGAGGUUCCACCUGAAGUCCCUGCUGAGGCUGCAGCCGUGGAAGCAGAGGUCCUUUCAGAGGCUGUGGUUUUAGUAGAGGCUGUGGCCCCAGUGGAGGUGGCGAUCCCUGUUGAGGCCGUCGUGGUUGAGGCCGCUCCUCUGGCAGAGGCUCCUGCUAAGACAGUGGUGUCUGAGGAGGCCCCUGUUGUUGAAACUGGAGCUGCAGUGGAGGUGGCUACCCUGGUCGAGGCAGCUGCACCUGUGGAAGCUGCUGUCCCAGUCGAGGUAGCUGCCCCCAUUGAAGUUGUUUCCCCAGUCGAGGUAGCUGCCCCCAUUGAGGAGACCCCAGCUCCAGCCCCAACAGAGGAGACCCCAGCUCCAGCCCCAGCCCCAACAGAGGAGGCUCCAGCCCCAACAGAGGAGACCCCAGCUCCAGCCCCAACAGAGGAGACCCCAGCUCCAGCCCCAACAGAGGAGACCCCAGCUCCAGCCCCAAAAGAGGAGACCCCAGCUCCAGCCCCAAAAGAGGAGACCAAAGAAGCCCCAGCCCCUGUGGCCGCUGUCCCUGAGCCAGUAACCCCUGCUGCUGAGCCUGUGGCCGCUGUCCCAGUGGGGGCCCCUGCUGUGGAGGCCCCUGCACCCAGUGGCCCCAUAACUGACCUUGUUGUUGCUGCUGAGCCUGCAGCAGAGCCAAUAAUCACCCCUGUGGCUGUGGAGGCCCCUGUAGCAGCCAUUGCCAAUGAGCCAGUGGAGGCCCCAGGACCAGUGGAGGCCCCAGGACCAGUAGAGGCCCCAGGUGAGGUGGCAGCUCCAGCCGCCCCAGAGCUAACACCAGCCGCCCCUGCCCCAGAGCUAACACCAGCCGCCCCUGCUCCUGUGGCCCUGCCUACUCCUGCUACCUCAGACGCCCCAGCCCCUGCCCCAGAGCUAACACCAGCCGCCCCUGCCCCAGAGCUAACACCGGCCGCCCCUGCCCCAGAGCUAACACCAGCCUCCCUUGCUCCCGUGGCCCUGCCUACUCCUGCUAUCUCAAUCCUAGAGAUUGAUGGUGUCCCGGUGGUUGUGUCUGAGGUGGCACAGGAAGCAGCGGCCUUGGUGUUGGCAGGAGUGGCACAGGAAGCAGAGAAAGACAAGAAACAGAACUAAGAAGAGAGGUCAAACCGAGGAGGCUGCUG